GAUGAACGCUGGCGGCGUGCCUAAUACAUGCAAGUCGAGCGAACAGACGAGGAGCUUGCUCCUCUGACGUUAGCGGCGGACGGGUGAGUAACACGUGGAUAACCUACCUAUAAGACUGGGAUAACUUCGGGAAACCGGAGCUAAUACCGGAUAAUAUAUUGAACCGCAUGGUUCAAUAGUGAAAGACGGUUUUGCUGUCACUUAUAGAUGGAUCCGCGCCGCAUUAGCUAGUUGGUAAGGUAACGGCUUACCAAGGCGACGAUGCGUAGCCGACCUGAGAGGGUGAUCGGCCACACUGGAACUGGGACACGGUCCAGACUCCUACGGGAGGCAGCAGUAGGGAAUCUUCCGCAAUGGGCGAAAGCCUGACGGAGCAACGCCGCGUGAGUGAUGAAGGUCUUCGGAUCGUAAAACUCUGUUAUUAGGGAAGAACAAUGUGUAAGUAACUAUGCACGUCUUGACGGUACCUAAUCAGAAAGCCACGGCUAACUACGU
rnacentral:rRNA from 1 species